rnacentral:tRNA from 1 species
ACCUGGCUGGCUCAGUCAGUUGAGCAUGUGACUCUUGACCUUGGGGUUGUGAGUUCGAGUCCCAUGUUGGGUG